UACGAAGGGGGCGAGCGUUGUUCGGAUUUACUGGGCGUAAAGAGCGCGCAGGCGGUCGUUCAAGUCGCGUGUGAAAGCCCCCGGCUCAACUGGGGAGGGUCACGCGAUACUGAUCGACUGGAGGGCAGGAGAGGGUAGUGGAAUUCCCGGUGUAGUGGUGAAAUGCGUAGAUAUCGGGAGGAACACCAGUGGCGAAGGCGACUACCUGGCCUGUUCUUGACGCUGAGGCGCGAAAGCUAGGGGAGCAAACGGG
rnacentral:rRNA from 1 species